rnacentral:rRNA from 1 species
CGCUGGCGGCGUGCCUAAUACAUGCAAGUCGAACGGUCUUUCUAUGGAAGCUUGCUCCACUGAGAAGAUAGUGGCGAACGGGUGAGUAACACGUGGGUAACCUGCCCAUAAGAGGGGGAGUAACAUCCGGAAACGGGUGCUAAUACCGCAUAGUUUUCUUGAUCGCAUGAUCGGGAAAGGAAAGACGGCCUUUGUGCUGUCGCUUAUGGAUGGACCCGCGGCGUAUUAGUUAGUUGGUGAGGUAACGGCUCACCAAGACGAUGAUACGUAGCCGACCUGAGAGGGUGAUCGGCCACAUUGGGACUGAGACACGGCCCAAACUCCUACGGGAGGCAGCAGUAGGGAAUCUUCCGCAAUGGACGAAAGUCUGACGGAGCAACGCCGCGUGAGUGAAGAAAAGGGUUUUCGGAUCGUAAAACUCUGUUGUCAGAGAAGAACAAGUUGGAGAGUAACUGCUCCAGCCUUGACGGUAUCUGACCAGAAAGCCACGGCUAACUACGUGCCAGCAGCGGC